GGGGAAUAUUGCGCAAUGGGGGAAACCCUGACGCAGCAAUACCGCGUGAGUGAAGAAGGUUUUCGGAUCGUAAAGCUCUGUUAUUGGGGAAGAAAAAAAGACGGUACCCAAGAAGAAAGUCCCGGCUAACUACGUGCCAGCAGCCGCGGUAAUACGUAGGGGACAAGCGUUGUCCGGAUUUACUGGGCGUAAAGGGCACGCAGGCGGUCUUGCAAGUCAGAUGUGAAAUCCAACGGCUUAACCGUUGAACUGCAUUUGAAACUGCAAGGCUAGAGUAUGGGAGAGGUAGGUGGAAUUCUCGGUGUAGGGGUAAAAUCCGUAGAGAUCGAGAGGAAUACUCAUUGCGAAGGCGACCUGCUGGAACAUUACUGACGCUGAGGUGCGAAAGCGUGGGGAGCAAACA
rnacentral:rRNA from 1 species